rnacentral:rRNA from 1 species
GAACGAACGCUGGCGGCAGGCCUAACACAUGCAAGUCGAGCGGAUGACGGGAGCUUGCUCCUUGAUUCAGCGGCGGACGGGUGAGUAAUGCCUAGGAAUCUGCCUGGUAGUGGGGGACAACGUUUCGAAAGGAACGCUAAUACCGCAUACGUCCUACGGGAGAAAGCAGGGGACCUUCGGGCCUUGCGCUAUCAGAUGAGCCUAGGUCGGAUUAGCUUGUUGGUGAGGUAAUGGCUCACCAAGGCGACGAUCCGUAACUGGUCUGAGAGGAUGAUCAGUCACACUGGAACUGAGACACGGUCC